rnacentral:rRNA from 1 species
UCAGGAUGAACGCUAGCUACAGGCUUAACACAUGCAAGUCGAGGGGCAGCAUGUUGGUUGCUUGCAACCAAUGAUGGCGACCGGCGCACGGGUGAGUAACGCGUAUCCAACCUUCCCCUUAGUAGAGGAUAGCCCGGCGAAAGUCGGAUUAAUACUCUAUGUUCUUCAAUGCGGACAUCUAAGUUGAAGCAAAGAUUUUAUCGCUAAGGGAUGGGGAUGCGUCUGAUUAGGUUGCAGGCGGGGUAACGGCCCACCUGGCCUACGAUCAGUAGGGGUUCUGAGAGGAAGGUCCCCCACACUGGUACUGAGACACGGACCAGACUCCUACGGGAGGCAGCAGUGAGGAAUAUUGGUCAAUGGGCGCGAGCCUGAACCAGCCAAGUAGCGUGCAAGGACGACUGCCCUAUGGGUUGUAAACUGCUUUUAUCAGGGAAUAAAGUGAGGCACGCGUGCCUUUUUGUAUGUACCUGAUGAAUAAGGACCGGCUAAUUCCGUGCCAGCCGCCGC